rnacentral:tRNA from 1 species
UAGCCUAGUGGUUAAGGCUAUGGAUUGCCAAUCCGGAGACGGCGGGUUCGAUUCCCAU